rnacentral:rRNA from 1 species
AGUGAACGCUGGCGGUAGGCCUAACGCAUGCAAGUCGAACGGCAGCACAGUAAGAGCUUGCUCUUACGGGUGGCGAGUGGCGGACGGGUGAGGAAUACAUCGGAAUCUACUUUUUCUUGGGGGAUAACGUAGGGAAACUUACGCUAAUACCGCAUACGACCUACGGGUGAAAUCAGGGGAUCUUCGGACCUUGCGCGAUUGAAUGAGCCGAUGUCGGAUUAGCUAGUUGGCGGGGUAAAGGCCCACCAAGGCGACGAUCCGUAGCUGGUCUGAGAGGAUGAUCAGCCACACUGGAACUGAGACACGGUCCAGACUCCUACGGGAGGCAGCAGUGGGGAAUAUUGGACAAUGGGCGCAAGCCUGAUCCAGCCAUACCGCGUGGGUGAAGAAGGCCUUCGGGUUGUAAAGCCCUUUUGUUGGGAAAGAAAAGCAGCAGGUUAAUACCCCGCUGUUCUGACGGUACCCAAAGAAUAAGCACCGGCUAACUUCGUG